CUCUACUUUAAUCUUGGCUUGUAGCCAUUUCAGGUUAAACAAUUUAACAUCAGUGCAAUAGCUGACCUUGAUGAUGUUUUUAUUCCCAUUGAAGGUAUACAACAAUAUUGCUGAAAACAUUGUACUAAAAAGCCUGGUAGUAGGCACACAGCCCUAUUUUACUCCAUUGGUGUCUGGGAAAACAAGAAAUCAUCAUCCAUUAUCCAGAACCCAUGAUCUGGACAGUGGCAACAACCUUGAUUUCCCAGGGAAUAAUCUCUUCUUGCCAUAUAACCUAGAAGUUUGCAGUCUUUGGUAUAAGCAGUGCCCCUGUCUUAAAUCUCUUCUGGAAUGGAUUCAGCACCAGUCACUAAUAGCAAUCAAAACCUCUUCUUCAGUUGGAAGUCAGACUAGACAGGGGCCAAUUUGAGACUCAACGAUGGAGUGGACAAGUCCCUAAAAGGCUCCCCAGAUUUCUAUCUCAGCAAUCCGUUCUUCCAUGUUUUUGAGAAGCAGGUUCCAACUAGGAUAGUAUCCCACACUGGUUCUAUAAUUUCUGAAGGAUGAAAACCAGGUCCCCUGGCUCCCAUGGCAGUGUUCUUUCCAUUACAUCCUGCUGGCUCUCCAUUUUAAAUGACACAGACAAAUGUUUGUUGGAUGAGAAAAUGAAUGGCAAGUAGUUGUGAGGAUGUUGGGGGGGGGGGGGCCGGGAUCAGGGGAAAGAGUGACUCAGUCUGGGAAUGCUGGUCUUGGGGACAGGUUCCACAAUGGGACAAUUAGCCUUCUAAGCCAGUUUUCAAUGAAAAUCUGACUUUUAAAAACUUUCAAUCAAUCAACAUAUCUUUAUUAAAUGCUGACUAUGUGCCAUGUGUUGUGCAAAGUUCUGGGAAUACAAAUGCAAUGAAUAAAACCAUCUCUCUUUGCA
rnacentral:lncRNA from 1 species